rnacentral:rRNA from 1 species
GAACGCUGGCGGCGUGCUUAACACAUGCAAGUCGAACGAAGCACUUUUACUUGAUUUCUUCGGAAUGAUUGUACUUGUGACUGAGUGGCGACGGGUGAGUAACGCGUGGGUAACCUGCCUCAUACAGGGGGAUAACAGUUAGAAAUGACUGCUAAUACCGCAUAAGCGCACAGUACCGCAUGGUACAGUGUGAAAAACUCCGGUGGUAUGAGAUGGACCCGCGUCUGAUUAGCUGGUUGGUGGGGUAACGGCCUACCAAGGCGACGAUCAGUAGCCGACCUGAGAGGGUGACCGGCCACAUUGGGACUGAGACACGGCCCAAACUCCUACGGGAGGCAGCAGUGGGGAAUAUUGCACAAUGGGCGAAAGCCUGAUGCAGCGACGCCGCGUGAAUGAAGAAGUAUUUCGGUAUGUAAAGUUCUAUCAGCAGGGAAGAUAAUGACGGUACCUGACUAAGAAGCACCGGCUAAAUACGUG